rnacentral:tRNA from 1 species
AGGGUACAAAGCUUAUUAAAGCAGCUAACUGUUAAUUAGAAGAUUGCGAAUUAAUUUUAUCGCUUACCCUA